UACGUAGGGUCCGAGCGUUGUCCGGAAUUAUUGGGCGUAAAGAGCUUGUAGGCGGUUUGUCGCGUCUGCCGUGAAAUUUCGAGGCUCAACCUCCAGCCUGCAGUGGGUACGGGCAGACUAGAGUGCGGUAGGGGAGAUUGGAAUUCCUGGUGUAGCGGUGGAAUGCGCAGAUAUCAGGAGGAACACCGAUGGCGAAGGCAGAUCUCUGGGCCGUAACUGACGCUGAGGAGCGAAAGCAUGGGGAGCGAACAGG
rnacentral:rRNA from 1 species